CCGUGGGGGAUAAGCUCCAUUGUCGAAAGGGAAACAGCCCAGAUCACAAGCUAAGGUCCCUAAGUCUGAACUAAGUGGGAAAGGAAGUUAGAAUCCACAAACAGCCAGGAGGUUGGCUUAGAAGCAGCCAUCCUUUAAAGAAAGCGUAAUAGCUCACUGGUCGAGGUUUUUAGCGCCUAAAAUGUAACGGGGCUAAAGUUCAGCACCGAAGCUGUGAGUUUCUUAUUUUUAAUAAGAAGCGGUAGGAGAGCGUUGUCAGUGCACUGAAUCUGAAAUGUGAGUUUUGGUGGAGCGCUGAGAAGUGAGAAUGCAGGCAUGAGUAGCGACAAUCGUGGUGAGAAUCCACGACACCGGAAGCCCAAGGUUUCCUACGCAAUGUUGAUCAUCGUAGGGUUAGUCGGGCCUAAGUGGUAGCGUAUAGCGAACACGAUGGACAUCGGGUUAAAAUUCCCGAACCGUUCAUGUUGUGUUUAAAAUAAAGGGGGGACGCAAGAAGGUAAGUAGAGCAUACCUAUUGGACAUGGUGUGUUUGUUUUUGUAGAUGAUGACCAGAUAGGAAAAUCCGUUUGGUAUUUUAGUUGAGGAAAACAAAAACUAGAGAGCUUAGCUCAAAGGAAUUUUGCUGAUCCUAUGUUGCCAAGAAAAUCCUCGUUAUUAAUAACAUGAGCGACCGUACCGCAAACCGACACAGGUAGGCAGGGAUAAAUGUCCCAAGGUGAACGAAAGAACCUUCGUUAAGGAACUCGACAGAUUGACCCCGUAACUUAGGGAGAAGGGGUGCCUGUUAUUUGAUACUGAUUUACUUAGUAAAGGGUAAUAGGCCGCAGUGAAUCGGUCCAAGCGACUGUUUAUCAAAAACAUAGGUCUAUGCUAAACCGAAAGGUGAUGUAUAUGGGCUGACGCCUGCCCAGUGCCGGAAGGUUAAGAGGAGAGGUUAGGAUUUAUCCAAAGCUUUGAAUUGAAGCCCCGGUGAACGGCGGCCGUAACUAUAACGGUCCUAAGGUAGCGAAAUCCCUUGUCAGGUAAGUUCUGACCCGCACGAAUGGCGUAACGACUUGGACAUUGUCUCAACGAAGGACUCGGUGAAAUUGCAGGACCAGUGAAGAUGCUGGUUACCUACGACAGGACAAAAAGACCCCGUGGAGCUUUACUGUAACUUGGCAGUGAUUUAGGCUUAUAAACGUGUAGGAUAGGCGGGAGACUUUGAAGCUUUAACGCUAGUUAGAGUGGAGUCACCCUUGAAAUACCGCCCUUUUAUAAUUUUGGAUCUAACUUUGUAUUUAUGAAGGACCCUGCCUGGUGGGCAGUUUGACUGGGGCGGUCGCCUCCUAAAAGAUAACGGAGGCGCCCAAAGGUUCCCUCAAGGUGGAUUGGAAAUCACCUUUCGAGUGUAUUGGCAUAAGGGAGCUUGACUGUGAGACCUACAAGUCG
rnacentral:rRNA from 1 species